rnacentral:rRNA from 1 species
GACGAACGCUGGCGGCGCGCUUAACACAUGCAAGUCGAACGGAAAGGCCUGCUUUCCCUUGUGGAUUGCGGGUACUCGAGUGGCGAACGGGUGAGUAACACGUGAGUGAUCUGCCCCCAACUUGGGUAUAAGCCUGGGAAACUGGGUCUAAUUCCCGAUAGGACUGCAGGGUGGUGCCUGUGGUGGAAAACGAUUUUCUAGUGGUUGGGGAUGAGCUCGCGGCCUAUCAGCUUGUUGGUGGGGUAAUGGCCUACCAAGGCGGCGACGGGUAGCCGGCCUGAGAGGGUGGACGGCCACAUUGGGACUGAGAUACGGCCCAGACUCCUACGGGAGGCAGCAGUGGGGAAUAUUGCACAAUGGGCGGAAGCCUGAUGCAGCGACGCCGCGUGGGGGAUGACGGCCUUCGGGUUGUAAACUCCUUUCGACCGCGAGGAAGCCACCUGGUUGGAAGGGAGGUGACGGUAGUGGUAGAAGAAGCACCGGCUAACUACGUG